UUGAACGCUGGCGGCAGGCCUAACACAUGCCAGUCGAGCGGAUGAAGGGAGCUUGCUCCUGGAUUCAGCGGCGGACGGGUGAGUAAUGCCUAGGAAUCUGCCUGGUAGUGGGGGAUAACGUCCGAAAACGGGCGCUAAUACCGCAUACGUCCUGAGGGAGAAAGUGGGGGAUCUUCGGACCUCACGCUAUCAGAUGAGCCUAGGUCGGAUUAGCUAGUUGGUGGGGUAAAGGCCUACCAAGGCGACGAUCCGUAACUGGUCUGAGAGGAUGAUCAGUCACACUGGAACUGAGACACGGUCCAGACUCCUACGGGAGGCAGCAGUGGGGAAUAUUGGACAAUGGGCGAAAGCCUGAUCCAGCCAUGCCGCGUGUGUGAAGAAGGUCUUCGGAUUGUAAAGCACUUUAAGUUGGGAGGAAGGGCAGUAAGUUAAUACCUUGCUGUUUUGACGUUACCAACAGAAUAAGCACCGGCUAACUUCGUG
rnacentral:rRNA from 1 species